rnacentral:rRNA from 1 species
UACGUAGGUGGCAAGCGUUGUCCGGAAUUAUUGGGCGUAAAGCGCGCGCAGGCGGUCCUUUAAGUCUGAUGUGAAAGCCCACGGCUCAACCGUGGAGGGUCAUUGGAAACUGGGGGACUUGAGUACAGAAGAGAAGAGUGGAAUUCCACGCGUAGCGGUGAAAUGCGUAGAGAUGUGGAGGAACACCAGUGGCGAAGGCGACUCUUUGGUCUGUAACUGACGCUGAGGCGCGAAAGCGUGGGGAGCAAACAGG